rnacentral:rRNA from 1 species
UCCUGACCGUGCGAAGGUAGCGUAAUCACUUGUCUUUUAAAUGAAGACCUGUAUGAAUGGCAUAACGAGGGUUUAACUGUCUCCUCCUCCCAGUCAAUGAAAUUGAUCUGCCCGUGCAGAAGCGGACAUAAAAACAUAAGACGAGAAGACCCUAUGGAGCUUUAGGCCAAGGACCAAUCAUGUUAAGAGACUACAAGAAUCAACAAGAACAAAAAAGUCAACAAACCAAAUGCAACCUCGUCCAAGUGCCUUCGGUUGGGGCGACCACGGGGAAAAAAGAAACCCCCACAUGGAAUGGGAAUUAUUCCCUUAAACCAAGAAAAACAAUUCUAAGCAACAGAACAUCUGACCAAUAUAUGACCCAGGAAAACACAUCCUGAUCAAUGAACCAAGUUACCCUAGGGAUAACAGCGCAAUCCUUUCCCAGAGCCCAUAUCGACGAAAGGGUUUACGACCUCGAUGUUGGAUCAGGACAUCCUAAUGGUGCAGCCGCUA